rnacentral:rRNA from 1 species
CAGUAGCCGCGGGAACACAGAGGGUGCAAGCGUUAAUCGGAAUUACUGGGCGUAAAGCGCGCGUAGGUGGUUUGUUAAGUUGGAUGUGAAAUCCCCGGGCUCAACCUGGGAACUGCAUUCAAAACUGACUGACUAGAGUAUGGUAGAGGGUGGUGGAAUUUCCUGUGUAGCGGUGAAAUGCGUAGAUAUAGGAAGGAACACCAGUGGCGAAGGCGACCACCUGGACUAAUACUGACACUGAGGUGCGAAAGCGUGGGGAGCAAACAGGAUUAGAGACCCCGGUAGUCCCUGUCUCUUAUAA